rnacentral:rRNA from 1 species
UACAGAGGUCUCAAGCGUUGUUCGGAUUCAUUGGGCGUAAAGAGCUCGUAGGCGGUUCGGUAAGUCAGGUGUGAAAUCUCCACGCUCAACGUGGAGGCGCCACCUGAAACUGCCGUGACUCGAGUCCGGUAGGGGAGUGUGGAAUUCCCGGUGUAGCGGUGAAAUGCGCAGAUAUCGGGAGGAACACCAGUGGCGAAGGCGGCACUCUGGGCCGGUACUGACGCUGAGGAGCGAAAGCCAGGGGAGCAAACGGG